AACUUUUAACGACGGAUCACUUGGCUCUCGCGUCGAUGAAGAACGCAGCGAAAUGCGAUACGUAACGUGAAUUGCAGAAUUCAGUGAAUCAUCGAAUCUUUGAACGCAUAUUGCGCUCUCUGGUAUUCCGGAGAGCAUGGUUGUUUGAGUAUCAGUAAACAUCUCAAAUCCCUUUUCUUGUUGGAGGAAUUUGGACUUGAGCAAUCCCAACUUUUCGAAAGAGAAGGCGGGUUGCUUGAAAUGCAGGUGCAGCUAGAUUCUUUCUUCUGAGCUAUAAGCAUACUUAUUUAAUCCCGUCAAACGGAUUAUUACUUUUGCUGCAGCUAACAUAAAGGUUGAAGAGUCGCUAUGGCUGACUGAUGCAGGAUUUAACAUGUCGCGCAAGCGAUCUGUAAACUCGAUCUCAAAUCAAGCAAGACUACCCGCUGAACUUAAGCAUAUCAAUAAGCGGAGGCU
rnacentral:misc_RNA from 1 species